rnacentral:hammerhead_ribozyme from 1 species
GCAUUGCUGAAGAGUCCCACAAUUGGACGAAAAGGCCAUCCAGUGC